UGGAUGAUGUGGUUUAAUUCGAUGCAACGCGAAAACUUACCACCUUUGACAUGUAUGGAAGUUUCCAGAGAUGGAUUCGUGCUCGAAAGAGAGCCAUAACACAGGUGCUGCAUGGCUGUCGUCAGCUCGUGUCGUGAGAUGUUGGGUUAAGUCCCGCAACGAGCGCAACCCUUGUCAUUAGUUGCUACAUUUGGUUGGGCACUCUAAUGAGACUGCCGGUGACAAACCGGAGGAAGUGGGGAUGACGUCAAGUCCUCAUGGCCCUUAUAGGUGGGGCUACACACGUCAUACAAUGGCCGGUACAAAGGGUCGCAAACCCGCGAGGGGGAGCCAAUCCAUCAAAGCCGGUCGUAGUCCGGAUCGCAGUCUGCAACUCGACUGCGUGAAGUCGGAAUCGCUAGUAAUCGUGGAUCAGAAUGUCACGGUGAAUACGUUCCCGGGUCUU
rnacentral:rRNA from 1 species